rnacentral:rRNA from 8 species
AAACUUUCAACAACGGAUCUCUUGGUUCUGGCAUCGAUGAAGAACGCAGCGAAAUGCGAUAAGUAAUGUGAAUUGCAGAAUUCAGUGAAUCAUCGAAUCUUUGAACGCACAUUGCGCCCCUUGGUAUUCCGAGGGGCAUGCCUGUUCGAGCGUCAUAA